ensembl:lncRNA
GGGGAAGCACCAGGGUUGAUCAGGAGGCAGAAAGAGUGAGUGUGAAACAGUGAUGAGAGCCUUUUUUACUAUAGCAGUGGGAUGCUCUUAGAUGAAGAUGGUCCCUAUUGGGCAGGAAGUGAAAUACAGAUGUUUGGGUUUGUGGUUGGAGGUUUUAUGAUGUGAUUUUCAAAUGCCCAUGAAAACACAAUGAUGGUGUGGAUAGAGGCAAUCAACUUGGCCUUUCGCUUUGCCUAUGAUUUCAAGAUGCCAAAUCAUCAAUUACAGAAUAUCAUGAAUGAUUAUUACACUCUCUCUCACCAACUCCAUAAUACACAAACUUCUAAUUUGUGCUUUAAAAAAAUUAUGUGAAAUAAUUAUUAAAACCACUUGAUAUACAACUGAUACACACAUCAACACACACACAACUUUGAAGAUCCCUUGUGAAUUUUCAGAACUGUGAUGCACCAUCAUUAGUUCCUAAAAAGAGAUGAUAGUAAAAAAGAAACAAAAAUAUAUAUUCGCUGUAUUUUUAUCAUGUAGAUAGCCACUUUGUAGUCAUUUAUUGAAAACUAAAUAUUUUAUCAAGUAUUUCAGCAACAAUACAUGGUCAGACACAAGUCAAAUAUAGGAAAGUUUUUCCUAAAAGUUUCCAAAUCUAUAUAGUUUUAGCUAAAGCAUAUGCUAAAUGAGAUAAUAGGAAGAUCAUAGUCAACUGGGAAAAUGAUGUUCUAGAGUAAAGCUUGCCUUUGUUGGGCUGACCAGAGUUUAAAUUGUAAUGUUCAAGGGGAAUGGAAAACCUAGUUUUAACUUAGUCUAUCUCUGGCCUCUAAAAUAAUCAGGUUUAAUGAAGAUAAGCUGGAGGGGCUUGGGAAAGGACUUUGCAGGGAUCAUGCUCUAUAUGUGAGUGGUGUUACUGUUACAAGUGCCCUGUUGAUGCAGGAAACUAAGAAACUCACAAAGGAAAAGAAUAGGAUGUGGCCUCCAUGGAGACAGAUGGCAAAUGCUGUGCAGGAAAUCAGAACCUUGACUCCAGAAGUUCAAGAGCAGGCUUCAUUUCCUCCAAAAGGACUGUAACUCAGUUAUACUACAUAUGAAACUUGGGCAGCAAAGCCAACUCAAUGAAAUCUACUUUUAUAAAUUUGGUUACUGAUACAUUGCCAGGCUAAAGGAACUAGGCAAAGCUGAGCCCAUAUAUAGAAAGUUGUAAGGACAUACAACUUGGUGGAAAUGAAGAAGUGAGGGACAGACACAAAGCUAACUAUCUAAACCGUAUGAUAGAGUUUGGGGACAGAAAACUGUAGAAAAUGAAUGAGCUUUUACAGUGUGUCAAGGGAUACAUAGAUAUCAGGCCAUUUGUGAUGUCAUCAUUAUAAUUAUUCCCAAUUAUUUGCUACCUCAUUCCCUGAAGGAUUAUAUAUCAGUUGCUUGCCAUGGAUCAUCAGGGCCUUCCUGCAGGAGGAGUGGGGAGAGUAUACUUGCUCAAGCUGUUGACUUGGCCAUGUGAUUUCUCUUGGUGGAAUGAUACAACAGUAUGUCAAUCCCAAAUAGAAGCUUUGAGAGCCAGUGAAGAUUUCAUCCAACUCUGUUGUUUCAUCUUUUGGUUUUUAAACUGCCACAAGACAGCAUAUCAGAAUACGCAGUAAUUCCUUUU